UACGUAGGGCGCAAGCGUUGUCCGGAAUUAUUGGGCGUAAAGAGCUCGUAGGCGGUCUGUCGCGUCUGUUGUGAAAACUCGAGGCUCAACCUCGGGCUUGCAGUGGAUACGGGCAGACUAGAGUGCGGUAGGGGAGACUGGAAUUCCUGGUGUAGCGGUGGAAUGCGCAGAUAUCAGGAGGAACACCGGUGGCGAAGGCGGGUCUCUGGGCAACAACUGACGCUGAGGAGCGAAAGCGUGGGGAGCGAACAGG
rnacentral:rRNA from 1 species